GAUGAACGCUGGCGGCGUGCUUAACACAUGCAAGUCGAACGAAGCACUUUAUUUGAUUUCCUUCGGGACUGAUUAUUUUGUGACUGAGUGGCGGACGGGUGAGUAACGCGUGGGUAACCUGCCUUGUACAGGGGGAUAACAGUUGGAAACGGCUGCUAAUACCGCAUAAGCGCACAGUAUCGCAUGAUGCAGUGUGAAAAACUCCGGGGGUAUAAGAUGGACCCGCGUUGGAUUAGCUAGUUGGUGAGGUAACGGCCCACCAAGGCGACGAUCCAUAGCCGACCUGAGAGGGUGACCGGCCACAUUGGGACUGAGACACGGCCCAAACUCCUACGGGAGGCAGCAGUGGGGAAUAUUGCACAAUGGGCGAAAGCCUGAUGCAGCGACGCCGCGUGAGCGAAGAAGUAUUUCGGUAUGUAAAGCUCUAUCAGCAGGGAAGAUAAUGACGGUACCUGACGAAGAAGCACCGGCUAAAUACGUG
rnacentral:rRNA from 1 species